rnacentral:rRNA from 1 species
UGGGGAAUAUUGGACAAUGGGCGAAAGCCUGAUCCAGCCAUGCCGCGUGUGUGAAGAAGGUCUUCGGAUUGUAAAGCACUUUAAGUUGGGAGGAAGGGCGGUUACCUAAUACGUAUCUGUUUUGACGUUACCGACAGAAUAAGCACCGGCUAACUCUGUGCCAGCAGCCGCGGUAAUACAGAGGGUGCAAGCGUUAAUCGGAAUUACUGGGCGUAAAGCGCGCGUAGGUGGUUUGUUAAGUUGGAUGUGAAAUCCCCGGGCUCAACCUGGGAACUGCAUUCAAAACUGACAAGCUAGAGUAUGGUAGAGGGUGGUGGAAUUUCCUGUGUAGCGGUGAAAUGCGUAGAUAUAGGAAGGAACACCAGUGGCGAAGGCGACCACCUGGACUGAUACUGACACUGAGGUGCGAAAGCGUGGGGAGCAAACAGGAUUAGAUACCCCCGUAGUCCCUGAGCGGGCUGGCAAGGCGCAU